AAAUUGAAGAGUUUGAUCAUGGCUCAGAUUGAACGCUGGCGGCAGGCCUAACACAUGCAAGUCGAACGGUAACAGGAAGAAGCUUGCUUCUUUGCUGACGAGUGGCGGACGGGUGAGUAAUGUCUGGGAAACUGCCUGAUGGAGGGGGAUAACUACUGGAAACGGUAGCUAAUACCGCAUAACGUCGCAAGACCAAAGAGGGGGACCUUCGGGCCUCUUGCCAUCGGAUGUGCCCAGAUG
rnacentral:rRNA from 1 species